AGCCCUCCCUGAAUUAUCCAUCAUGAAAACAAGGAGUAUGAACACAGAGGAAGACAACAUGGGAGAGUAGAAGAGAGAAAAUCAAAUAAGGAAUCUCAAAUGCAGCCUCUCCCUUGCCUCCCAACCAUUGUGAACACAAAUCUCAAUGAACAUUUUGGUGAAUAAUAUGUUUCCUGUCCUCAAGGAAUUUCCAUUUAGCGGGCAUUAAACAUUCUGAUUUAUAAAC
rnacentral:lncRNA from 1 species